rnacentral:rRNA from 1 species
ACGGGAGGCAGCAGUGGGGAAUAUUGGGCAAUGGGCGAAAGCCUGACCCAGCAACGCCGCGUGAAGGAAGAAGGUCUUCGGAUUGUAAACUUCUUUUAUGAGGGACGAAACAGAUGACGGUACCUCAUGAAUAAGCCACGGCUAACUACGUGCCAGCAGCCGCGGUAAUACGUAGGUGGCAAGCGUUAUCCGGAUUUACUGGGUGUAAAGGGCGCGUAGGCGGGAAUGCAAGUCAGAUGUGAAAUCUCUGGGCUCAACCCAGAAACUGCAUUUGAAACUGUAUUUCUUGGGUGCUGGAGAGGUAGAUGGAAUUCCUAGUGUAGCGGUGAAAUGCGUAGAUAUUAGGAAGAACACCAGUGGCGAAGGCGAUCUACUGGACAGUAACUGACGCUGAGGCGCGAAAGCGUGGGGAGCAAACAGGAUUAGAUACCCUGGUA